UAAGGAAUAUUGGUCAAUGGAGGCAACUCUGAACCAGCCAUGCCGCGUGCAGGAAGAAGGCCCUAUGGGUCGUAAACUGCUUUUGAACAAGAGAAAACCCCGGUACGUGUACUGGGUUGAUAGUAUUGUUAGAAUAAGCAUCGGCUAACUUCGUGCCAGCAGCCGCGGUAAGACGAAGGAUGCAAGCGUUAUCCGGAUUCAUUGGGUUUAAAGGGUGCGUAGGCGGACUGAUAAGUCAGUGGUGAAAUCUCUCGGCUUAACCGAGAAACUGCCAUUGAUACUGUUAGUCUAGAGUACAGAUGAUGUGGGCGGAAUAUGACAUGUAGUGGUGAAAUACUUAGAUAUGUCAUAGAACACCGAUUGCGAAGGCAGCUCACAAAACUGUAACUGACGCUGAGGCACGAAAGUGCGGGGAUCAAACAGGAUUAGAUACCCGGGUAGUCCCUGAGCGGGCUGGCAAGGCGCAU
rnacentral:rRNA from 1 species